ensembl:lncRNA
CCGAAGUGGUUCAGGUGUGCAGAAGAGUUAUGGAACAAUGCCCAAGUGAGACUCCAGCCCACUGUCAGAAGGAGCAAGCGGAUCGCCACUGCUCUCCACCAGGAACCUCCUGCUCCGCUUGACCUGUAAGAAGCUGAGUCCCCAGUUUGUGGGGUCCUCCGGAGUGUCAACAAGAUUUUGGGCGGAGUAAACCCUCUUCCUGUUCAGUUUAUCCCAUGGUUACAUCCAAGGACAAAUUUAUUGAACUCACCACUGCAGUUCAUCUGGCAAAGGUUCAGAGACGGAGUGGAGCCGUUGGCACAGAUCACACGGUCGCUCAGCUGAAACAAGCCGUAGAGGGUCCACAUGGUCUCUUCUUCGCUGGUCUCCUCUUCGCUGGAGUCUUCUUUUCUGGAGUCCUCUUUUGAUGGGCUGAACUGAUGACUUUCAGCGCUGGAUGAAUCUCCGUGAGAAUCCCCAGCGUGUCUCUUACCCCUCCUAGUAGUGUGCUCAGGGUGGGUAGGACGGGUCGGACGGUUAUCAUCCUUAGCAGGGCGGGUAGGGCUGUCAUCAUCAUCCCUCCAAGGAGUCACAAAACGGGUGUUGAAACCUGUGGCCUUCUCUACGUGGCAGACGACUGGAAGAGGCAAUGACAAUUGAGAGUUACUUUACAAUCGGACUCCUAAGGGCCGAUUUCCCCAUACACAGAUUUAGCCUAGUCUUGGAAUAAGAAGCCAUUUCAAUGAAGAAUCUCGAGAAAUGUUUCUUAGUCCAGGACUAGGCUUAAUCCGUGUU